rnacentral:rRNA from 1 species
GCAAGUUGAGCGAAGCUUUUUGGUAGUUUACUACUAGAAAUGACUGAGCGGCGAACGGGUGAGUAACGCGUGAGCAAUCUACCUUAGUUACUGGGAUAGCCCGAGGAAACUCGGAUUAAUACCGGAUAUUCUUAUUUUUUCACAUGAAGUUUUAAGGAAAGGUCAGCCGAACUAAGAUGAGCUCGCGUUCUAUCAGCUAGUUGGUGGGGUAAAAGCCUACCAAGGCUACGACGGAUAGCUGGUCUGAGAGGACGAUCAGCCACACUGGGACUGAGACACGGCCCAGACUCCUACGGGAGGCUGCAGCAGGGAAUAUUGUGCAAUGAGCGAAAGCUUGACACAGCGACACCGCGUGUGGGAUGACGGUUCUAGGAUUGUAAACCACUUUCAGGAGGGAAGAAAAUGACGGUACCUCCACAAGAAGACCCGGCCAACUAUGUGCCAGCAGCCGCGGUAAUACAUAGGGGUCAAGCGUUGUCCGGAUUUAUUGGGCGUAAAGAGCUCGUAGGCGGUUCAACAAGUCGGUCGUAAAAGUUUAGGGCUCAACCCUAAAAUGUCGAUCGAUACUGUUGUGACUAGGAUACGGUAGAGGUGAAUGGAAUUCCGAGUGUAGCGGUGAAAUGCGUAGAUAUUCGGAGGAACACCAAUUGCGAAGGCAGUUCACUGGAUCGUGAUCGACGCUGAGGAGCGAAAGCUAGGGGAGCAAACAGGAUUAGAUACCCUGGUAGUCCUAGCUGUAAACGAUGGAUACUAGAUGUAGGAACUGGAUUGACGGUUUCUGUAUCGUAGCUAACGCGUUAAGUAUCCCGCCUGGGGAGUAC